rnacentral:rRNA from 1 species
UACGUAGGGUGCGAGCGUUGUCCGGAAUUAUUGGGCGUAAAGGGCUCGUAGGCGGUUUAUCGCGUCGGGAGUGAAACUCAGGGCUUAAACCCUGAGCCUGCUUCCGAUACGGGCAGACUAGAGGUAUGCAGGGGAGAAUGGAAUUCCUGGUGUAGCGGUGAAAUGCGCAGAUAUCGAGGAGGAACGACCGGUGGCGAAGGCGGUUCUCUGGGCAUUACCUGACGCUGAGGAGCGAAAGUGUGGGGAGCGAACAGG